CACAGGAAACUGUUAGCUCGUGGACUAUAGGUGAACUCUGUCAGUUUUUAAUUGAUAUAUGACUGCUGGAUUGUGGUUUAUUUCCCAGAUUUUCUGACUACUUUGACAGCUAAGGACAGCUCCAGAGAAGCCACCUCAAGAUGCUCCAACCUCCUCUCACAGACACAGAUGCUUCUACUGGACUUGUUCCUUCUGAUCUACCCACAAACAGUUCUUAUAUCCUGGACAACAAGGAAGCAGCCAACUUUCCUAAGACUGGACCAACAUCUUCAUACCCACUUUCUGAAUCCUCUGAAUAGCCCAAUUGGUCCUGGUAAUGGGUAAAGAGAAAGAAGUCUGAGUGUUUACUCUGUGUACUCCAAAUAGUCAUGAACUACACAGAGUGAUUUGGC